rnacentral:rRNA from 1 species
AUACGGAGGGUGCAAGCGUUAAUCGGAAUUACUGGGCGUAAAGCGUGCGCAGGCGGAUUUGUAAGUCAGUGGUGAAAUCCCCGGGCUCAACUGGGGAACUUCCAUUGUGACUGUCAAGCUGGAGUGUGGCAGAAGGGGAUGGAAUUUCGCCUGUAGCGGUGAAAUGCGUAGAUAUGCGGAGGAACACCGAUGGCGAAGGCAAUCCCCUGGGCCUGCACUGACGCUCAUGCACGAAAGCGUGGGGAGCAAACAGGAUUAGAUACCCUGGUAGUCCACGCCCUAAACGAUGUCAACAGGUUGUUGGGGAUUUAUUUUCUCAGUAACGAAGCUAACGCGUGAAGUUGACCGCCUGGGGAGUACGGCCGCAAGGUUAAAACUCAAAUGAAUUGACGGGG